rnacentral:rRNA from 1 species
UAGCGUAGGGUGCGAGCGUUUGUCCGGAAUUAUUGGGCGUAAAGGGCUCGUAGGCGGUUUGUCGCGUUCGGGAGUGAAAACACACAGCUUAACUGUGUGCUGGCUUCCGAUACGGGCAGACUAGAGGUAUGCAGGGGAGAACGGAAUUCCUGGUGUAGCGGUGAAAUGCGCAGAGUAUCAAGGAGGAACACCGGUGGGCGAAGGCGGUUCUCCUGGGCAUUACCU